CCUACGGGUGGCAGCAGUGAGGAAUAUUGGUCAAUGGGCGCGAGCCUGAACCAGCCAAGUAGCGUGAAGGAUGACUGCCCUGCGUGUUGUAAACUUCUUUUGUAAAGGAAUAAAGUGAGGCACUAGUGCCCUGUUGUGGGUACUUUAUGAAUAAGCAUCGGCUAACUCCGUGCCAGCAGCCGCGGUAAUACGGAGGAUCCGAGCGUUAUCCGGAUUUAUUGGGUUUAAAGGGAGCGUAGAUGGGUUGUUAAGUCAGUUGUGAAAGUUUGGGGCUCAACCGUCAGAGUGCAAUUGAUACUGGCAGCCUUGAGUACAGGUGAGGUAGGCGGAAUUCGUGGUGUAGCGGUGAAAUGCUUAGAUAUCACGCAGAACUCCGAUUGCGAAGGCAGCGUACUAGACUGACACUGACAUUGAUGCUCGAAAGUGUGGGUAUCAAACAGGAUUAGAUACCCUUGUAGUC
rnacentral:rRNA from 1 species